UUACGGCGAUAUCACGUUGAAAUACCGGUUCCCGUACGAUCAUCGAAGUUAAACCACGUAGAACCUGGUCAAUAUCUAGAUGGGUGACCGUAUGUAAAUACCAGUUGGUGUA